GGCUCUGUAGUGAAAUUCAUGUUGAGUUGCAAGCUCAUCGAUGCGCACUAGGGUGCGUCAGGGUCU
rnacentral:tRNA from 7 species